rnacentral:rRNA from 1 species
CCGGGAGGUGCUAUACAUGCAGUCGAGCGAAUGGAUUAAGAGCUUGCUCUUAUGAAGUUAGCGGCGGACGGGUGAGUAACACGUGGGUAACCUGCCCAUAAGACUGGGAUAACUCCGGGAAACCGGGGCUAAUACCGGAUAACAUUUUGAACCGCAUGGUUCGAAAUUGAAAGGCGGCUUCGGCUGUCACUUAUGGAUGGACCCGCGUCGCAUUAGCUAGUUGGUGAGGUAACGGCUCACCAAGGCAACGAUGCGUAGCCGACCUGAGAGGGUGAUCGGCCACACUGGGACUGAGACACGGCCCAGACUCCUACGGGAGGCAGCAGUAGGGAAUCUUCCGCAAUGGACGAAAGUCUGACGGAGCAACGCCGCGUGAGUGAUGAAGGCUUUCGGGUCGUAAAACUCUGUUGUUAGGGAAGAACAAGUGCUAGUUGAAUAAGCUGGCACCUUGACGGUACCUAACCAGAAAGCCACGGCUAACUACGUGCCAGCAGCCCGGGGGUAAUAC